AUGGCAUUGGAUACAGUUUGAAGGACUUAACUCAGUUGGGAAUUAGCUGCAACCGCCAACAUGCCGUCCAAGCCUGCCCCAAUCAAGAAGGCGGCGAAGAAAGAACCAGCCAAGAAGGAGGAGGAGAAGGCUGCAGAGCCGGCUGCUGAACCCUCCCCGGAGCCCGCUCCUGCCGAGGCCGAAGCCGCCCCUGCCGAAGCUGCUCCUGCUGAGGGUGAAGCUGCCCCCGCUGCAGAGGGAGAAGCCCCCGCUGCCCCACCGGCCGAGGAGCCCAAACCCCCCACCCCUCCACCCGCAGAUGAGCCCACAAGUGCUCCUGUGGAGCUGUUCAUUGAGGACAAGAAUGACACUUCAGUUACUAUCAUUUGGAGCCAGCCGGAGAACAUCGGUCCCUCAGGUCUGGAUGGAUACACCAUUGAAGUCUGCAAGGAUGGAACUGAGGACUGGAAAGCAGUCAAUGAGGACCUGCAGAAGUCCUGCCGCUACGUUAUCAAGAACCAGACUACAGGUGACCGUCUGAAGAUCCGUGUGGUGGCUGUGAACGCCGGAGGCCGCAGCCCCCCUGUCGCUCUCCCCGAGCCCGUCCUGGUGAAGGAGGUCGCUGACCGCCCCAAGGUGCGUUUGCCUCGUUUCCUCAGGCAGAGAUACGUCGCUCACGUUGGAGACAAGAUCAACCUGACCAUCCCCUUCACAGGCAAACCCAAACCUGUGGUCUCCUGGACAAAGAAUGGCGGAGCCCUGGACACAAAGAGGGUGAACAUCCGCAGCACCGAUCGAGACAGCAUCCUCUUUAUCCGUGCGGCCGAGAGGGACGAUUCUGGAGUGUACGAGAUGACUGUGAAGGUGGACGACUUUGAGGACAAGGCUUCGCUCACCCUUCAGAUUGUUGAGCUGCCAGGGCCUCCUGCCAGUGUAAAGAUUGUGGAUACCUGGGGCUUCAACGUUGCUCUGGAAUGGGCUGUACCCAACGACAACGGAAACACAGACAUCACAGGUUACACAAUCCAGAAGGCCGACAAAAAAACCGGAGACUGGUUCACUGUGUUGGAGCAUUACCAUAGACUGAAUGCCACCAUUUCUGACCUCAUCAUGGGCAACACUUACAAGUUCAGAGUGUAUUCCGAGAACAAAUGUGGAAUGAGCGAGGACGCUGCUGUUACAAAGGGAGAAGCCAAGAUCCUGAAGACAGGUAUUGAAUACAAGCCUCCUGAGUACAAGGAGCACGACUUCUCCGAGGCGCCCAAGUUCACCACAAAUCUGAGCGACAGAGCCACCACCGUCGGCUACAGCACCAAGCUGCUCUGCUCCGUCAGGGGAUUCCCAAAGCCCAAGAUUGAAUGGAUGAAGAAUCAGAUGAUUAUUGGAGACGACCCCAAGUACAGGCAGAUCUGCGUCCAGGGUAUCUGCUCUCUGGAGAUCCGGAAGCCUGGUAACUUUGACGGCGGUGUGUACUCCUGCAGAGCCAAGAACGAUCAUGGAGAAGUAACUGUCAGCUGCAAGCUGGAAGUCAAACAGCCAGUAGUUGCAGAUGCAGAUAAGAAAUAGAUCAACAUCCUCACAGACUAGGAGCAGAAGGAAUGACGCCUUUGCAGCAUAAGGAAGGUGCUGGAUUCCCGGAAGAACGUGUAUAUAUGGCUUUUGACCACUCGAACAAUGGGUUGUAGCCUGUGCUCUUUUGCCAAGUGUUAACAUAUGUCAUGAUGAGCAAUAGCUCUCAUCACUUUAUGCCUACAAAUACAAUAAUAAGUCCAUAUCCAUGUCCACAAUCAGCUUUUCCCAACAGUCCUGCCUACGGUUACUAAAUUAUUACAUGUUCAAAAACUGUACCUCCCAAGUUGUCAGUCUAAAUAGGUAAACAGCAAGAAUUCUGCAGCAUGAAAUUACAGCUCCUCGUUGGAGGACUGCAUGUAACAUCUAUGUGUUUAAAUCAAUAAACAUUUUAAUUUCUGGUUU